rnacentral:rRNA from 1 species
UACGUAGGGGGCAAGCGUUGUCCGGAAUCAUUGGGCGUAAAGCGCGUGUAGGCGGCUCGGUAAGUCCGCUCUGAAAGUCCGGGGCUCAACCCCGGGAGGCGGGUGGAUACUGUCGAGCUAGAGUCCGGAAGAGGCGAGUGGAAUUCCUGGUGUAGCGGUGAAAUGCGCAGAUAUCAGGAGGAACACCCGUAGCGAAGGCGGCACUCUGGGCCGAUACUGACACUGAGGAGCGAAAGCGUGGGGAGCGAACAGG